rnacentral:SRP_RNA from 1 species
GCCAGGUACAGUGGCAUGUGCCUGUCGUCUGAGCUACUUGGGAAACUGAGGCGGGAGGAGGCCUAGAAGUUCGCUGUCUUGAGCUGUGCCUACAGGGUAUCUGCGCUGAGUUCAGCAUCAAUAUGGUAAUCUGGGAGUGGAGUGGGGGACCACCAGGUUGCCUAAGGAUGGGUGAACCAGCCCAGGUUGGAAAUGGAAAAUGUCAAAACUCUUGUGUUGAUCAGUAGCAGGAUCGAGCCUUUGAAUACUCCUGAACCCCAGCUUGGGCAACAUAGCAAGUAUCCAUUUCU